CACACGGAGCCUCAGAGCCCACUUUGUUUUUCCUGCAGUUGGGCACGACCCCAGGGACAUGACCCUUGAGAGUGCUGACACUUCCUGAAGCCAGUGACCCUCCCCCUGGGCUUCUCCCUCCCUGGGUCUCAGAAUCUUUGAGGCCAACUUGUACCCUCAGAAGUGUUUCUGCUGAAGGACACGUAAACAGCACUGUGGAUUUGUGUCCCGCAGUCUGCAAAACUGCCUCCCCUGAGUGGGGUGAGGAGCUACUGAAAUACUGAAAUCAUUGAAACUAACAGAAGCCACAGCUCAUGGUGCUGGGAGAAAACUGGGAAGGACGGAGAGGUGAAGAGGCUAUAAAGGCCCAGUCGUGAAGGCGACCAUGAGCCAGGAUGUCCUGAAGUCGCAAAGCUGACCAAUGCUGAGUGCCCUAAAACCUGCCACUCCUGUGCCCAUCUUUUCUUUCAAUGGACAAAGUCUUCCCCUGCUCUUAUGUGCCUGGCCUGGAAGGGCCUUUGACUUAUAACAUGAAGCAGCCUCCAGAGCCUCUUGGGGCAAGUGAUGGUCAAGGAGGCUCUGCCUAACCCCACCCUGCCCUUCCCACUUGUCAGAGGACCAGGAAUUUCAGUCUUCCAGCUCCUGGGCUGAUCUAGUGACUUGUAACAGGAUUUCGCUGGAACUGGAAGGUGUUGAAGACAGGAAGUACUCCUGGGUUUCUUCACCCAGCUGAAUGCCUAGUUCCUGGUCUUAUUACACGGCUUACAUUCAGGAUAAGAAGAGGCGUUUGGAGCUUUACGCAUGACCUCUUAGCAGAGGUUUCUGUUCAGGAGCGAAGAGGUAAAAAGAAAGCAGUGUCUACUAAGUCCUUUUCCAAGAGUCUCAGGAAAUUCUCAUGAAGACCCUCUCAGGAGACUGCAGAAUUUACCUGGUCUGAACACCUUGGUUCUUCUCUGCCUGUGACCCUCUGCCUCGCAGGAGCCGUCUCUGUCACUCUGAGGAAUACACACAGGACAGACUGUGGAUGGAGGUGCCCAUCCUAGAGGCCCUGCCCUCCAUUCCUCUGCCCCUGGGGGGUUCCCUGUGAUACUUGUGGUCUCAUUUCCCAGAGAGAUGGAUACACCCCUAUCAUGUCCAGGGCUUCCCCAGACUUGGGAUUUGAUGUCGCGACUGAGACUGGGGCUUUGUUGUCCACUGUUGAGUCUGGCCCUGAAUCUGCCCCUUCCCACCAUUACCUCUGAUCACCUGUGUUCUCGCUGUUCUCCCUGGGUUUGAAGCCUGUCCUCUCUUUUGGUUCUUUCACCUCAGAGGGCCUUUUUCUUCCAGUUCUUUGACCUCGCGACAGGUCAGAUUUGACCACAGGAAAACAAAAAGAAAAUUAGCAAGUUUGUUUGACAUGUCAAGAACCGGAAUGUACAGCUUGAUUUAGGCGAAGAAAAAGUUCCAAAGCUCUACCCCUUCCCCUAGGACAUGCUCUACAGGAAAUAUCCUGCAAGCCCUGGAUCAACUCUUAUCCAGAAACAGUUAACACCCAGGAGGAUUUUUCUACACCACCUCCCAUUUACAUUCCCCUAAUGUGGCAAAAAGGAUGCAUCCCAAUCAUAAACCCAAAUUCACCCUAGGAGACCAGAAGACAUGGCUGGGGUGAGUUCAUUUUCCUUCAACCUGCCCUCCUCUCCUCCUACCAAGCCCUGCCUCUUUCUCUGCCUCUAUAGUGCUGGGAAGGGACCCAGAGUUGUUUGUUUAGGGCUUUAUGUCCACUGCUCACCUGCAGACAUGUUUCCCACCAGCCUGACAUCUCUCUUAUUCCUUCUCCUCCAAAGAACUCAGUGACACCCCCUUCACCAUCACACCUCAGCAGGGCCCCCCCCCAAUCCUCCCAAGUCCCACUGAAAUCCCAUUUCCCUUUCCCUAUUUAUGCUGCGCUCAUCCUUAGGGUCCCAAGAUCUCACCAUCCAGAUGAGGCCUGUCCUGUCCUCUCCUGGGUCAGGGGAGCCUCUGAGGGGACCUGGUGUCUGUGGUCAGCUAUCUGGGGCUUCUUCCAUCCGGAUCCCCCUUAGGGCUGGAGUUCUCUGUGCACUUGGGUUGGGAGGGUUGGGGUCACAGUGGAAGGAGGGUAUGAUCUUCCAGGGCGGCUGGGUUAAACGAACCUGAAUGGAGGUCUCUCCUGAAGGGCCCACGUUUCCAGCCCAAAGGCCCUGCUCCUCCUAUUCCUGGGGUUCUAGAACGUCUUCAGGCGCUUCCCCCUCUGGCCUCGGUGGUGUGCCUGCUCCUUCUGCAGCCUGGUCUCCUGCCUCUUCAGCCUGUCCAGCUGGUGCCUCAGCCUCUUCAGUUCUUCUCUCUGCUUCUCCAGCUGCUCCUCCAGGCGUCUGCAGACCGCUCUCUUCUCCCUCACCUCCCUCUUCUUGGCCGCCAUCAGGCAACGCCUGGCCAGCUGGUGGCAGCGUCUGGGCCUGCGCUGCACUGAGCCUGGCAGCCGCCUCUCCAGCAGCUCUUCAAAGAAGACCCGGCAGCUGAAGCCCUGAGUCACACCAUGCUCCACAUGGGCCACGAGGGCCUCCCCGGACUCGAACACGCGGCAGCAGGCCAUGCAGCGGAAGCCGCGCUCACGGGUCACCAGCCACUCCGGGGUGGUUGCGCGGGGUCUCUCCCCAUGCUCCUCCCCUUGGUCGGUGGGCUCCUGGGUACAGGUCUGGGGCCCCUCCUGCCAGGGCUCCAGGGUGCUGACCAGGGACUCAGUGUUGGCCAGACUGGGGGCAGAGCCGAUGGUGCUCUCCUCAGAGAGCUCGGCUUCAAAGACCUGGGGCAUCUUGCCCACGGGGGCAAAGGAGGUUUUGGUCUGCCAGGAGACCGCCACCCCCUUGACCGUGCGCACCUUGGUGAAAUAUGCACACCUGACCCAUGGCUUUCCUGGGGCUGCCCCGUAGCUGGAGGAGUGAGAGGUCUGCUCGGUGGAAGAUGACAGAAAAGAGUUCUCAGAUUGUUUUGGAAUCUUCCUGGGCCUGGAGCUUCGACUUUUUUCAUGGCAUGUUGUUGACUGUUGCACAUUUUCCUCUUGGAUAGAGACCUCUGAGAAUAGAGAGUCAAUUUACUUGAGCUUUCAGGGUCCUUAUUCUCACCUGUGACCUCAAAUCUUUGGUCAUAGGGACCCCUGGAGGCCUUUCCAUCACCACAUCCUCCACCUCUACAGACCCCAUGGUUUCUUUCUUCUUCCCCAGAGACCCACCACCCUUGGGGGCACUGCUGUGGAAGACAAAGUCUCCAUUGUAAAGUGGCACUGUUUAUGGUAGUUCAUUUUUUAAGAAGUUAUUUUUCUUUAAUUCCACAUUUAUUGAAUUCCAAUGAAUUUGUUCCUUUGGAACUUAGAAAUGACCUCAUUCCCAUGAAGCUUCAUAAUAAAUGUGUGACUUGAUGUUUUGUAUGCGGGUGAUAUUCUUAGUAAAUUUGGAGGGUAAACACUCCAGAGCAAUGGUCACCUCUUUUCAUCCUCUUUUUACUGAAAGGCUUUUUAUAGAGGAGGUAUACGUAAAGAGAAGAAUGUGUAUAUUUAGUUAUGAUUCUUACAUGUAUACCUCUUCCUUGCACCCUUCUUAACCCAGCCACAGUAGAAGAUGAAAAUUGUUUUUCUCAGAAUAGAAGCCCAGUCCUUAGUAGAUGAAGUGAGGCAGAAAGAGAUGGCCGUAUCUGAGAACCUUGAUGCGAGAACUUCAGAUGGAGAACACACAGCCUUCUCCGCUGUGUAUGUCUCAGUGGGUUGUCUGUGUCAACCUAAAGGUCUGUGUAUGUUUCUGAAUCUGUGGGAAGGACUGCAGAGUUCAGGAUGCAGAAAGAGAUGGAGCUAGGUCGGGUGCGUUGGAUGGAGGGAAAGCUCGAGAGAGAGACAAGAUUCAGAGAUGGAACAUGCCAGCAGUUGGUUAGAAGGAUACAGAGAUCAAGGAGGGAGCAGAAAGCAGGGCUCAGCCACUGAAGGGCAGAAUGGGGCAGCAACCAAGAAGACAAAGGGGGGGCAGACUAGUCGGAGAAAGAAUGGAUAACUAAGAAUGAUAGCAGAAACUGAGGUUAGCUAUAGUUGGAAUUUUAAAAUUCUUUCCUGCUAGACUUUGGAAAUAUAAUGCUAAAUGGAAUAAGUUAGUAUUUGCCCUAAGUAUAGGGCAAAUACGGUACGAUCUGACUUACAUGAAAUAAGCAAAUAUAUAGAAAGCAAGGAUUAUUGGUCGUUGCCAGGUGUGGGCAGGGGGAAGGGGAAGUUUUUCCACUGGGGCAUUGAGGUUAUGUUAAUGGUUGUAGAAAAGUUUGGAGAAGGAUAUUGAGAAUGGUUAUAUGACUUGAAGAAUGUAAUAAGUAUCACUGACUCAUACAUUAGAAAUUAUUCAGUUAUGUUUUAUGUAUAUUUUCAAGACAAUUUAAAAAAAUAAAACUUUGCAGUUACAAGAGAAAAAAAAAUGAUCUAUACUAUAGCUGUCUUUACCUAGAAGAAAUGUUAAACCCUUAGGUAAAGAUGGUCAGGAGACCUUGGAGGAGAAGGGAAAUCCCUAGAGCUAGAGGGGCAGGGCCUUCCUGGACCUUCUUCCGCCUGAGUCCAGGCUGAGGACUGUGGCAGCUUACAUUGACUGGGAACUCUGAAUGAACGUGUCGUACUGUGCUCCAUCACACCACCCACUCCCAAAACCUCCUGAUAAAUUUGAUAUAUUUUUUUAAUUCGCAUGAUAUAUUAAUUCAUUCUCAUGAAAAAAUUAAGUAGAAGUCUCUGUAACCACCCUUCUCCCUGGUUCUAUACCCACUGCCCCAGUUGCCCACCUGCGUUCUUUCCACUAACAAAGCAGGAGAGUUCACAAAUCUGACUUGUCUGCUACUGUUACGGAAAGCCCCUCAGAUGACAGUAGAAUUCUAUACUUCACUUACAUAUUUAUUCCUUCGUUUAUUUAUUCACACUAUAAUUUCUUACUGUUUACUAAUGGACAGGAAGUUUUUUCAGGUGAAAGCCUCGGUGAUCCCUUGUGGUCCUUGUCUCCGGGGUGAAUCAAACCCCUUGCUGCCCAACACCCAUCGCACAGACUGAAUUUUCCUCCAACCCUUACCUCGGGCCUUAGAGAAAGGCCUCUUCCUCACGUAUUGCCGCUCCAUUCUGGCUGGGUGAAGAUGAACCACGAAGGAUGGUCACUGGCAAGACGUUUCUCCUCCUCCCACGUAGAGAUGAUGUCCCAAACUCUCACAAGUUGGGGACCUUGAUUUAGGCAGAACCGUUUGUAAUUUGGUAUCCAAAGUCGCUCUCCCACAGGAGACCUCAGAGCCACAACCUCUCCAAAGAGCAGUUGGGAUCUGAGUGAGCACCAAGGUUUCCAGUAACUCUUGUGUGACAUCAUCGCUGACAUCGCUCAGUUCCAAGGGCCCAGUUUGAAUCUAAACAGCGCACUAGGAAAAAAUAUGGCAACUGUUGUGGGAGAGGCUAGGAGGCUGGGAGGAGGGAAAUUAUAUCUUAAAAAUGAAUUGAAAUGUUCACUUAAAGAAGUCAACAUCUAAGAGGAAGGAAACUGUGAGUUGAGGAAAUAGAAGAGUAUAAUGAGUCGCUAUUUCUCCCAAACCUCUUCUCUGGCCCUGAAUCAAAUCUCUCCAGCCCUAGAAACACAAUGUCCACUCUGAACACCUCUCAGGCCCCCUUUGCCACUUAGGCUUCACACAGGCUGUUCCCUCUGACUAGUAGACGUUCUCUCCCUUCCUGUUGACUGGUUCCUCCUCCAAGGUACCCAGUCUGUGCUUCUGGUUUAUGUAUUCAGAGGACCUAGUAAUCUUUUAGUAAUCCUCCAUCAUAGCACUGAGUCAUAGGAGAUGCUCAAUUUCCCAUUUGUGUCUUCCAAAUGUGUUGUAAAUAACUUGGGCACAAAGAUGAGGUCUGCCUCAUAUUUGGCAGUCCCAGAAAGUGAGACAGAACCCCACCCAUAGGAGAUACCCAAUAUAUAUCUAUUGAUUAAAUAAAAGAAAACUCUUCCAAAAGACUCACCCUUCGUAGCCAUCCAUGUACAAUGGAGUUUUUGGUCUGUUGCCUGGAGGUACCAUCACUCAGUGGUGGUGUCUAGGCCACUCUCUCUUGACCUCCUGACUCUAAACCCUGUGAAGCCUCUUGGCCUGUCCACACGCUUCUCCCUUGGAGCCACUAAAAAGGGUAGGAUUACAUCAUCACAGAAAAGCACGGAGACUCCGGACGUCUAUGGUCAACCUGCCUGGGAGGCUUAGGAGAGCCCUCGGGGAAAGGUCCACUGUCCUCUGCUUGAUCUCCUUUUUUGUCCAGGGGGCAAUUAGAAAAGGAACAAGCAAAUUGUUGAAACAUUUUAAGGCAGGGUUUGGGAAGUUGUGCUUGGUAGGUAGAGGAGAGCCUGAGGAUUUGAAGGAAAAUGAAAGAUGUCAACAUGGGAGCAGAGGGCUCGCUUUGUGUGACGACAGAUGGUAGAAUGUGGGCAAGUGGUUGGAAAUAUAUAAAAAAAGAAAAUCUCCUAACCAUCCACUCGUAUUUCAAAAUUUAGGUCAAGCAUCACUUCCUGGUGGAGCCUUUCCGACCGUACACCUGGUAGAAUUUCCCAACCGUGCUCCCCACUCUAUUGUAUUUAAGAAACGCUUCUGCCACAACUAGGGACAAACUUGAUUGCAUUUACAUGUUGUGAUGGAUAGCAAAAAUGGCCACAUGUUCUAAUAUGUAUGUAUCCAUACAUAUUAUAUGACCUACAGCUCCCUUUCUGAAGAGCAAGAUUCCUCCUCCAGUCCUUGAAUUUGGACUGAUCUAUGAUUCUUUUGGCCUUUGGGACAGUGUAAAGACCAAUAGAAGCAGAGACCGAAUAUAAUUAGACACAUCGUGACUUGCUCUCUUACCAAAAAUGAAACCCAUCACUCUCAAGUAUAUUCUAACUCAUAGUGACCCUGAAGGACAGAGUAGAACUGCCCCAUAGGGUUUCCAAGGCUGUAAUCUUUACAGAAGGAGAGUGCCAUGUCUUUCUUCCGCAGAGCAGCUGGUGGGUACAAACUGAUUACCUUUCCUUUAGCAACUGAGCCCUUAACCACUGCACCACCAGGGCUCCUCCUUGCCCUCUUGCUGCUCUUCAAACACUGAGAACCCAUGGGAACAGCCCAGGCCACCCUAAUAAAUGACAAGAGACCAUUAGAGAGAGAAUCCAGCUGAGAAGAUUUCAGGCCCUCUGCCCGCCAGCUGACAUGGUGGCUGAUUCCAGAUACAUGAGGGCGCCCAGCCGAGAGCGGCUGAGUCUGCGCCAGACCAGAAGAACCCCAAACUGCCAACCUGCAAAACUGUGAGCGAAGUAACUGCUUGUUCUUUUAAGGCACUUCAUUUUUGGGUCAUUUGUUAUACAGCAAUUGAUAACUGAUUUGUUAACUGGGCUGUUUCUCUCACCAGACUGCAAGGAAUCUUUUCUUAAUCAUUUCUGUAUCAACAGUAUCUGGCAGAGGGUUGUUCAAGUGGUCAUUAGACAGUAGAAAUUUCUUCAUUUACAUAAUUUAAAAGUUUCUAUCAUUAUGUUUUAACUUUUAUAAAUAAGAUAUGGCUGGAUUUGCAAGUCUAAGCUGAGUGUACAUGUUUUUUCCUUAGGUAUUAAUCCCUUUUUCUUGCUAUUACUCAUACAUUUAGACAUAAUUCCAAUAUUAUACUUCAUAUUCACUGUUCUUUUUUAUUAUUAUUAUUAUUCUGCCUUUCCUGUUUUUUUUUUUUAUUGGAAUGAUGAAAUUUCUCUUACUUUCUUUUUCCUUCUAGCGAUUUGAAACUUGUAUUUUCAAUUCCUAUUCUUUUAUAGCAAACAUGAGAUCUUUGAACAUUUUAAUAUUUGGUAUAUUGUAUCAAGUUCAUAUCUCAGUUCUCCUCUCAAACAGUAAUUUUUUGCUAUCUGCCAUUGAGGUGACUCCGACUAAUGGUGAACUUAGGUAACACAGAACUAAAGUUUGCCAGGUCCUGUGUCAUCCUCACAAGCGCCAGCAAUUUAGAUUCCAUCAUUAUGGCUAAUGUGCCAGUCCAUCUCACCAAGGGUCUCCUACAGCCUUGUUGGCCUUCUUCUUCACCAACCACGAUAUUCUCCUCUAGGACUGAUUAAUCUGUCCUGAUGACAUGUCCAAAGCAAGUGAAUUGGACAGUAUUCUCUUGUGAUC